GACGAACGCUGGCGGCGUGCCUAAUACACGCAAGUAGAACGCUGAAGGAGGAGCUUGCUUCUCCGGAUGAGUUGCGAACGGGUGAGUAACGCGUAGGUAACCUGCCUGGUAGCGGGGGAUAACUAUUGGAAACGAUAGCUAAUACCGCAUAACAGUAGAUAUUGAAUGAUAUCUGCUUGAAAGGUGCAAUUGCAUCACUACCAGAUGGACCUGCGUUGUAUUAGCUAGUUGGUGAGGUAACGGCUCACCAAGGCGACGAUACAUAGCCGACCUGAGAGGGUGAUCGGCCACACUGGGACUGAGACACGGCCCAGACUCCUACGGGAGGCAGCAGUAGGGAAUCUUCGGCAAUGGACGGAAGUCUGACCGAGCAACGCCGCGUGAGUGAAGAAGGUUUUCGGAUCGUAAAGCUCUGUUGUAAGAGAAGAACGAGUGUGAGAGUGGAAAGUUCACACUGUGACGGUAUCUUACCAGAAAGGGACGGCUAACUACGUG
rnacentral:rRNA from 1 species